rnacentral:rRNA from 1 species
GACGAACCGUGCGAACGUUGUUCGGAAUCACUGGGCUUAAAGGGCGCGUAGGCGGACAAUCAAGUCAGGGGUGAAAUCCCACGGCUCAACCGUGGAGGUGCCUUUGAUACUGACUGUCUCGAGGGAGGUAGGGGCGUGCGGAACUUCCGGUGGAGCGGUGAAAUGCGUAGAUAUCGGAAGGAACGCCGGUGGCGAAAGCGGCGCGCUGGACCUCUUCUGACGCUGAGGCGCGAAAGCUAGGGGAGCAAACGGG